UACGUAGGGCGCAAGCGUUGUCCGGAUUUAUUGGGCGUAAAGAGCGUGUAGGCGGCCUGACAGGUCUGCUGUGAAAACUCGAGGCUCAACCUCGAGAUGUCGGCGGAAACCGUCUGACUAGAGUCCGGAAGAGGAGAGUGGAAUUCCUGGUGUAGCGGUGAAAUGCGCAGAUAUCAGGAAGAACACCUAUGGCGAAGGCAGCUCUCUGGGACGGUACUGACGCUGAGACGCGAAAGCGUGGGGAGCGAACAGG
rnacentral:rRNA from 1 species